GAUGAACGCUGGCGGCGUGCCUAAUACAUGCAAGUCGAGCGAACAGACGAGGAGCUUGCUCCUCUGACGUUAGCGGCGGACGGGUGAGUAACACGCGGAUAACCUACCUAUAAGACUGGGAUAACUUCGGGAAACCGGAGCUAAUACCGGAUAAUAUAUUGAACCGCAUGGUUCAAUAGUGAAAGACGGUUUUGCUGUCACUUAUAGAUGGAUCCGCGCCGCAUUAGCUAGUUGGUAAGGUAACGGCUUACCAAGGCAACGAUGCGUAGCCGACCUGAGAGGGUGAUCGGCCACACUGGAACUGAGACACGGUCCAGACUCCUACGGGAGGCAGCAGUAGGGAAUCUUCCGCAAUGGGCGAAAGCCUGACGGAGCAACACCGCGUGAGUGAUGAAGGUCUUCGGAUCGUAAAACUCUGUUAUUAGGGAAGAACAAAUGUGUAAGUAACUAUGCACGUCUUGACGGUACCUAAUCAGAAAGCCACGGCUAACUACGUG
rnacentral:rRNA from 1 species